rnacentral:tRNA from 1 species
GCGGGCGUAGCCAAGUGGUAAGGCAAUGGAUUGUGACUCCAUUAUUCGCGGGUUCAAAUCCCGUCGUUCGCC